AUUGAACGCUGGCGGCAGGCUUAACACAUGCAAGUCGAGCGGAGAUGAGGUGCUUGCACCUUCUCUUAGCGGCGGACGGGUGAGUAAUGCUUAGGAAUCUGCCUAUUAGUGGGGGACAACAUUCCGAAAGGAAUGCUAAUACCGCAUACGCCCUACGGGGGAAAGCAGGGGAUCUUCGGACCUUGCGCUAAUAGAUGAGCCUAAGUCGGAUUAGCUAGUCGGUGGGGUAAAGGCCUACCAAGGCGACGAUCAGUAGCGUGUCUGAGAGGAUGAUCCGCCACACUGGGACUGAGACACGGCCCGGGCUCCUACGGGGGGGAGCAGUGGGGAAUAUUGGACAAUGGGCGGAAGCCUGAUCCAGCCAUGCCGCGUGUGUGAAGAAGGCCUUUUGGUUGUAAAGCACUUUAAGCGAGGAGGAGGCUACCUGGAUUAAUACUCUAGGAUAGUGGACGUUACUCGCAGAAUAAGCACCGGCUAACUCUGUGCCAGCCGCCGCAGUAAGAC
rnacentral:rRNA from 1 species